rnacentral:tmRNA from 1 species
GGGGGCGAAUCUGGCUUCGACGUGGAUUACGAAACUUUAGUUGCAUGUCGAGAUGUCAGCGAAUCUCGUAAAAUCAAAGCUGAAAACUUAUAGUUGCAAACGAAGACAACUACGCUUUAGCCGCAUAAAUGGCUAACUGUCUACUCUGAGCGUCCUUGGUAGGAGCUAGACAGUCAUAUACAGGGACUCGCAGGUAACUGUGCUCGGCAGCCAACUGUUAAACUUACCUCGAGAUCGCCUUUAAAAGCCUGGCCAUUGGCUCGUUAGAGGUUAAAUUAAUAAUGGUUCUAAGCAUGUAGACUCUGAAGCAGAGGAUUUGCGGACGCGGGUUCGAGUCCCGCCGCCUCCACCA